GACGAACGCUGGCGGCGUGCCUAAUACAUGCAAGUAGAACGCUGAAGGAGGAGCUUGCUCUUCUGGAUGAGUUGCGAACGGGUGAGUAACGCGUAGGUAACCUGCCUGGUAGCGGGGGAUAACUUUUGGAAACGAUAGCUAAUACCGCAUAACAGUAGAUGUUUCAUGACAUUUGCUUAAAAGGUGCAAUUGCAUCACUACCAGAUGGACCUGCGUUGUAUUAGCUAGUUGGUGGGGUAACGGCUCACCAAGGCGACGAUACAUAGCCGACCUGAGAGGGUGAUCGGCCACACUGGGACUGGGACACGGCCCAGGCUCCUACGGGAGGCAGCAGUAGGGAAUCUUCGGCAAUGGACGGAAGUCUGACCGAGCAACGCCGCGUGAGUGAAGAAGGUUUUCGGAUCGUAAAGCUCUGUUGUAAGAGAAGAACGAGUGUGAGAGUGGAAAGUUCACACUGUGACGGUAUCUUACCAGAAAGGGACGGCUAACUACGUG
rnacentral:rRNA from 1 species